rnacentral:lncRNA from 1 species
AAGAUGUGGUAUGAUUGCCAAUGAGACAACUAUCCACAAAAGACCAAAAUGACACAUACAUUAACAACUAUAGGUCACCGUACGGCCUUCAACAAUGAGCAAAGCCCAUACCGCAUAGUCAGCUAUAAAAGGCCCGAUAAGACAAUGUAAAACAAUUCAAACAAGAAAACUAACGGCCUUAUUUAUGUAAAAAAAUGAGCGAAAACAAAUAUGUAACACAUAAACAAACGACAACCACUGGAUUACAGGCUCCUGACUUGGGACAGGCACAUACAUAAAUAAUGUGACGGGGUUAAACAUGUUAGCGGGAUCCCAACCCUCCCCCUAACCUGGGACAGUGGUAUAACAGUACAACAUAAGAACGAACUAUAAAAAUCAGUUGAAAAAGGCUUAACUCAUCAGAUGGACAAAAAUACAAGUGGACGUGACCCGGUACUUAUACAUCCCGACACAAAAA